GUGGAAAGUUGAGGAGCUGUUCUGCCAAGCUAUGGGAGAUUCCUACAAAAAAGCAAGGAAAAAUAUCUUUAAUCUUUUUUGAGAAAGAGAUGCUGAAGAAACAUAUCUCCAGAGCUGAUGUCAGUUGUAAAUAAGAGGCACAGCACCAAGAACUAGCAUGUGUUAUCUGAUGUGGGAGUGUUUUCUAGAAGGGUGGGAGGGGAGAAGAAAAACCAGGAAUAAGGGAAUUAAUGCAGUCGUUACCUGCCAUGAAGACCUCAGAUCUCUAAGAGCAUUGCGUGGCAUUUUACGACAGGCUGUGUAUACCAGCAAGCAGCACGCACAUCCAUUUUGGCCAGCUGCUUCUUGUCAGUUAAUCCCCUUCUUAGAGGUUUGGGCUCGAGCAGACUGCCUGCGGAUGCUCGGCCCCGUCGCCCACAGGCUGAUUUUGCUGCUUUUUUUGGUCAGGGCCGGCCUUUCGGGGGCUCCCCUCUCCCCCCGGGCUGCCGGGGGCCGCCGAGCCGUGUGCCGGCGGGCUGACAGCAGGGGGCAAGAGCGCUCCAAAAAUGCCCUCCCGAGCAUCCUCCGCCCUGCGCCGCCGGGGGGGAAGCGGGGGGCGGCUGAGGCGGCUCCGGCAAACCCGGCAGGGCUCCGGCAGCCCCGGCUCGGUGCGCCCCGAGCAGCCCCCCGCUCCCCCAGGGCGGCCAGCAGGCAGCGGAGCCUGCAGCGGUGCUGCGAGGGGGGGAUGGGGAUGGGGAUGGGGGAGCCUCCUCCUCGCUCCCCGCCUCGCUGUGCUCUCUCUUUCACGCAGGCUUUCUGGGGCUGUGCGUUAAGAAGGAGGCUGCCGCUGGAAAUGUUCGUAAUGCGGGAUAUUUCCAGCUGCGGCUUUCUGGGACGUUUCCUCCUCACCGCACCUGGGGAAGCCCCUCCGUGCGUGCGUGAUUUUAGGGCUGUCGGCGGUCCCCUCGCCUUCGGAAGCUGGAGCAUCCCCCCUUCACCGAGGUACCCGCGCUCUGGCUGCUUGCUGCUGGGAUCAGCUGGGCAGUAG
rnacentral:lncRNA from 1 species